rnacentral:rRNA from 1 species
GACGAACGCUGGCGGCGUGCUUAACACAUGCAAGUCGAACGGAAAGGCCCUGCUUUUGUGGGGUGCUCGAGUGGCGAACGGGUGAGUAACACGUGAGUAACCUGCCCUUGACUUUGGGAUAACUUCAGGAAACUGGGGCUAAUACCGGAUAGGAGCUCCUGCUGCAUGGUGGGGGUUGGAACGUUUCGGCGGUUGGGGAUGGACUCGCGGCUUAUCAGCUUGUUGGUGGGGUAGUGGCUUACCAAGGCUUUGACGGGUAGCCGGCCUGCGAGGGGGACCGGCCACAUUGGGACUGAGAUACGGCCCAGACUCCUACGGGGGGCAGCAGGGGGGAAUAUGGCACAAUGGGCGGAAGCCUGAUGCAGCAACGCCGCGGGCGGGAUGACGGCCUUCGGGGUGUAAACCGCUUUCGCCUGUGACGAAGCGUGAGUGACGGUAAUGGGUAAAGAAGCACCGGCUAACUACGUG